GCCAGUUCUAUAUCCAAAUGGCUAGUUCUCCAUUUAUUCCAUGAGAUCUAACCUUGGUAAUCAGUCUCCCAUUGAGAUUAAACAGGUUGCAUUUAAAAAAGCAGAUGAGUUAUUGGUUAAAAUAAAUUGGAGACUGGUUAUAUUAUUUGAUGAAUUCUUUACUGGAAUGAACCGGGAGGCCUGGCUUCAAGACCCAGCUGCUCCAGAGGCAUGUGAUAACAGGUCUUGCUCCAGCAUUUUUGCAUUAAGUAUUUCAUUGUAAAAUUAAUAUAUUGGCUGCAUGAAAUUAAUUGUUUUUUCAACUGAAAUUCCAUUUCAAUCAUUAGGUGUAAAAGAAAUAUUUGUUUACACAUGACUUAAUGUAACUAAAAUUAGAGAAUUACCAUUCUAACUGAAUCCUCACGGACAGUACCUUUUUUUAACCCAAAAAGAGAAUUUGAAUUGAUUGCAAUUGGAACUUUUGCAAUUACACACCAGUUAACAGGAAUCUUUUUCUAUCACCCCUGCCCCAUCCCUGGCCCUACAGCCUAAUUUGUUUUAUUUUAUGCAUUGGAUUUCAGAAACCUGUUUAACAUUUCACUAAUUGGCCCAACCUAAUUUUGGCAUUCCAUUCAAACAGCUAUUUGAAUGUGGCAAUUUGCAUAUUCUGUUUCACAGGAUUAUUAACAUAACAUAUUUAUCCGAAGUAAAGAAUAAUAUGCUGUUUUAAAUUGAAGGCAGUGUUGAAUUUACGGCACUUCAAUUGAAACUGAGCUUCAAAAAUUUACUGAAAGUAAAAUUGAUCUUUUUUUGAUGUGUUCAAAUUUUUGGACCAUAAAUGCUGCUGUAAAAAUACACUUUUGAUCAUGAAAUUUUAUGCCUAACAUACCCAUAAGUUCCACUAUCGUCUAAAUUAUUUUUAUUGCCCUUAUUUACUCAAAAGCAAUGAGUGCAGAUGACGUUAGGGAAUAGGUGUGUGCAAAUGCAUUCAACAAAUUAUUCCAGAUUCAAUUUGUUCAGUGAUUUUUUUUGAGCUGUACAUGGUCAAAUACAUAAAAUUCUACGCUAAACAUAAUAAAAUGUGGCAUUAGGUACUGUUUGAAGUGGAUAAAUACUCAUUCUGCAGAAAUGAAGGCAGCCGUGUGUUAAGAGGACAUUGUAUACUGUAUAAACUGUUUGUGUAUCACAAGAUUUUUUUGGCAAACAGCUCCAUUUAAGACAACAAUUAAAGAGCUAUAGAAACCAA